CCUACGUGAGGCAGCAGUGAGGAAUAUUGGUCAAUGGGCGCGAGCCUGAACCAGCCAAGUAGCGUGAAGGAUGACUGCCCUACGGGUUGUAAACUUCUUUUAUAAAGGAAUAAAGUGAGGCACGUUUGCCUUUUUGUAUGUACUUUAUGAAUAAGGAUCGGCUAACUCCGUGCCAGCAGCCGCGGUAAUACGGAGGAUCCGAGCGUUAUCCGGCUUUAUUGGGUUUAAAUGGAGCGUAGAUGGGUUGUUAAGUCAGUUGUGAAAGUUUGCGGCUCAACCGUAAAAUUGCAAUUGAUACUGGCAGUCUUGAGUAAAGUUGAGGUAGGCGGAAUUCGUGGUGUAGCGGUGAAAUGCUUAGAUAUCACGAAGAACUCCGAUUGCGAAGGCAGCUUACUAAACUGCCACUGACAUUGAUGCUCGAAAGUGUGGGUAUCAAACAGGAUUAGAUACCCUGGUAGUC
rnacentral:rRNA from 1 species